rnacentral:rRNA from 1 species
UACGGAGGGUGCAAGCGUUAUCCGGAUUCACUGGGUUUAAAGGGUGCGUAGGUGGGCAGGUAAGUCAGUGGUGAAAUCUCCGGGCUUAACCCGGAAACUGCCAUUGAUACUAUCUGUCUUGAAUACCGUGGAGGUGAGCGGAAUAUGUCAUGUAGCGGUGAAAUGCUUAGAUAUGACACAGAACACCGAUUGCGUAGGCAGCUCUCUAAACUGUAACUGACGCUGAGGCACGAAAGCGUGGGGAGCAAACAGG